AGGACGAACGCUGGCGGCGUGCCUAACACAUGCAAGUCGAACGAGGUCCAUCCGGUAGCAAUACUGGUGAAGAUCAAGUGGCGAACGGGUGAGUAGCACGUGAGCAACCUGCCCCGAAGACCGGGACAACACCGGGAAACCGGUGCUAAUACCGGAUAUCCCCACCGAGUCGCAUGGCUUGGUGAGGAAAUGGAUUCCGCUUCGGGAGGGGCUCGCGGCCUAUCAGCUUGUUGGUGAGGUAACGGCUCACCAAGGCUUCGACGGGUAGCUGGUCUGAGAGGACGAUCAGCCACACUGGGACUGAGACACGGCCAGACUCCUACGGGAGGCAGCAGUGGGGAAUCUUGCACAAUGGGCGAAAGCCUGAUGCAGCAACGCCGCGUGAGGGACGAAGGCUUUCUGAGUUGUAAACCUCUUUCAGCAGGGACGAUUGUGACGGUACCUGCAGAAGAACGCCCGGCAACUACGUGCCAGCAGCCGCGGUAAU
rnacentral:rRNA from 1 species